CGCCAUGGCAAAAGUUACGAAGAGAGCAAGCACUGUAGUGACGUGGAAUUAAACAAACCAAAAUAAAACACGAAAUUGAAAUCACAAUCCUGAUGGCUGAACCCGAAAUACAUGCACAUGAUGAUGAUGAUGAUGAUGCCAUACCCCCAUCCACUCAUCCAGGAAUAGCAGAUGGUGAUGGUUUGCUGGACAAUACAUGAUCAACGGUCAAGAUUAACGAAAC